CUGAAUAUUUUGGUAGCUCCAGAGGAAAGAGAAGCAGCUGAUCGAAGUGGUGCAAGCUAGGGAUGACACAUGAGACCAGGUUUUCUGAGUGACGGACAACUAACCUGCAAUUACUGCGACCAGACAACCCCAACAAACUAGCCUGUAAUCACCACUAUCAACCAAAGCGGGAUGGGGGGGUGAAAGAGUCCUGAGAGGAACCUGGUCUGCCCCCGCCCCCUGUUUGCCCACCACCCCCUGAGACCAAAGGAGGGUUGCGAAAGAAACCACUGAAUACAUGUUCUCUGCUAUAAAACAUUCCCGUUCAGUGAUGGUCCUCAGCUCAUCUUGCAUGUAAAUCAGAGUUUUGUAUGCUUGAUGACCACAGCAACAGUCAUGUGACAGGAGAGCACAUGGCUGGAGGAGUUAGCACCACGGAGGAAACUGAAAUUGGAAGAAAUCG